rnacentral:rRNA from 1 species
GAUGAACGCUGGCGGCGUGCCUAAUACAUGCAAGUCGAGCGAAGCGGGGACGGGGGAGUAACACGUGGAUAACCUCCUAUAAGACUGGGAUAACUUCGGGAAACCGGAGCUAAACCGGAUACUUAUCGAUGGAUCCGCGCUGCAUUAGCUAGUUGGUAAGGUAACGGCUUACCAAGGCCACGAUGCAUAGCCGACCUGAGAGGAUGAUCGGCCACACUGGAACUGAGACACGGUCCAGACUCCUACGGGAGGCAGCAGUAGGGAAUCUUGCGCAAUGGGCGAAAGCCUGACGGAGCAAUGCCGCGUGAAUGAUGAAGGUCUUCGGGUUGUAAAACUCUGUUAGUGGGGAAGCGGUACCUAAUCAGAAAGCCCCGGCUAACUACGUGCCAGCAGCCGCGGUAAUUC